rnacentral:rRNA from 1 species
GAUGAACGCUGGCGGCGUGCCUAAUACAUGCAAGUCGAGCGAACAGACGAGGCGCUUGCUCCUCUGACGUUAGCGGCGGACGGGUGAGUAACACGUGGAUAACCUACCUAUAAGACUGGGAUAACUUCGGGAAACCGGAGCUAAUACCGGAUAAUAUAUUGAACCGCAUGGUUCAAUAGUGAAAGACGGUUUUGCUGUCACUUAUAGAUGGAUCCGCGCCGCAUUAGCUAGUUGGUACGGUAACGGCUUACCAAGGCAACGAUGCGUAGCCGACCUGAGAGGGUGAUCAGCCACACUGGAACUGAGACACGGUCCAGACUCCUACGGGAGGCAGCAGUGGGGAAUCUUCCGCAAUGGGCGAAAGCCUGACGGAGCAACGCCGCGUGAGUGAUGAAGGUCUUCGGAUCGUAAAACUCUGUUAUUUGGGAGGAACAAAUGUGUAAGUAACUAUGCACGUCUUGACGGUACCUAAUCAGAAAGCCCCGGCUAACUACGUG